rnacentral:miRNA from 1 species
UAGGGUGGCCAACUGCCCCCAAUUUUCCUGGGACUGAGGAGUUUCCCAGGGUGCUAGACUUUCAGUGCUAAAACCGGGACAGUCUUGAGCAAAUUGGAACAGUUGGUCACCUUUGGUGAGA